rnacentral:rRNA from 1 species
GAGUUUGAUCCUGGCUCAGGAUGAACGCUGGCGGCGUGCCUAAUACAUGCAAGUCGAACGCUUUGUGGUUCAACUGAUUUGAAGAGCUUGCUCAGAUAUGACGAUGGACAUUGCAAAGGGUGGCGAACGGGUGAGUAACACGUGGGAAACCUACCUCUUAGCAGGGGAUAACAUUUGGAAACAGAUGCUAAUACCGUAUAACAAUGACAACCGCAUGGUUGUUAUUUAAAAGAUGGUUCUGCUAUCACUAAGAGAUGGUCCCGCGGUGCAUUAGCUAGUUGGUAAGGUAAUGGCUUACCAAGGCGAUGAUGCAUAGCCGAGUUGAGAGACUGAUCGGCCACAAUGGGACUGAGACACGGCCCAUACUCCUACGGGAGGCAGCAGUAGGGAAUCUUCCACAAUGGGCGAAAGCCUGAUGGAGCAACGCCGCGUGUGUGAUGAAGGGUUUCGGCUCGUAAAACACUGUUGUAAGAGAAGAAUGACAUUGAGAGUAACUGUUCAAUGUGUGACGGUAUCUUACCAGAAAGGAACAGCUAAAUACGUGCCAGCAGCCGCGGUAAUACGUAUGUU